rnacentral:rRNA from 1 species
GUGAACGCUUGCGGUAGGCCUAACCCCUGCCAGUCGAACGGCAGCACAGUAAGAGCUUGCUCUUACGGGUGGCGAGUGGCGGACGGGUGAGGGAUACAUCGGAAUCUACUUUUUCGUGGGGGAUAACGUAGGGAAACUUACGCUAAUACCACAUGCGACCUACGGGUGAAAGCAGGGGAUCUUCGGACCUUGCGCGAUUGAAUGAGCCGAUGUCGGAUGAGCUAGUUGGCGGGGUAAAGGCCCACCAAGUCGACGAUCCGUAGCUGGUCUGAGAGGAUGAUCAGCCACACUGGAGCUGAGACACGGUCCAGACUCCUACGGGAGGCAGCAGUGGGGAAUAUUGGACAAUGGGCGCAAGCCUGAUACAGCCAUACCGCGUGGGUGAAGAAGGCCUUCGGGUUGUAAAGCCCUUUUGUUGGGAAAGAAAAGCAGCAGCUUAAUACCCCGCUGUUCUGACGGUACCCAAAGAAUAAGCACCGGCUAACUUCGUG